ACUGAUUUCUCUUGGUGUUCAGAGGCUACACACUUAUCUAGCACCAUUUGAAAUCGGUUA
rnacentral:pre_miRNA from 1 species